rnacentral:tRNA from 1 species
GACUUAGUGGUCCAACGGUAAAGCGUUCGCCGCAAAACCAGAGGGUCCUGGGUUCGACCCUCGAUGAAGUCG